rnacentral:misc_RNA from 1 species
AAGUCGUAACAAGGUUUCCGUAGGUGAACCUGCGGAAGGAUCAUUAACACGUAUCCAACGUUAAACCCCCCUGUGAACCUUCAUUGUGCUCCCACGCUUUGUUAGAAAGUGGCAAUCCCUGGUAAAUCAUCGCCGAACAGUUUUGAUUCAGGGACUUCUGCGAAGAGGGUGAAUCACUAACUCUGUACGAAUGGCGCAGUCACGUUCGCUGGAGGCCGACACGGCCGGCGACCGGGUCCCUGAGCUCUGCUCCCUAAUAACCUUUGCAUGAAAACGGGCCUGCGCUUAAUUGUGCGGCCACCAAACUCGAACAACUGUUAACAAUGGAUAUCUUGGUUCUC